rnacentral:misc_RNA from 1 species
AACGCACCUUGCGCUCCUUGGUAUUCCGAGGAGCAUGCCUGUUUGAGUGUCAUGGAAUUCUCAACCUUCAACACUUUUGUGAAGAAGGCUUGGACUUGGAGGUCGUGUUUGUAUGACAAGGUCGACUCCUCUGAAAUAUAUUAAUGCGAACCGUACGGAUCGCUUCGGUGUGAUAAUUGUCUACGCCGUGGUGUUGAAGUAUAGCAGUGUUCGAGCUUCUAACCGUCCGCAAGGACAAUUUUCUGACAAUCUGACCGCAAAGCAGGUAGGACUAUCCGCUGAACUUAA